UAGGGAAUCUUCCGCAAUGGACGCAAGUCUGACGGAGCAACGCCGCGUGAGUGAAGAAGGAUUUCGGUUCGUAAAACUCUGUUGUUAGAGAAGAACAGCGCAUAGAGUAACUGUUAUGCGUGUGACGGUAUCUAACCAGAAAGCCGCGGCUAACUACGUGCCAGCAGCCGCGGUAAUACGUAGGUGGCAAGCGUUGUCCGGAUUUAUUGGGCGUAAAGCGAGCGCAGGCGGUCAAUUAAGUCUGAUGUGAAAGCCCCCGGCGCAACCGGGGAGGGUCAUUGGAAACUGGUUGACUUGAGUGCAGAAGAGGAGAGUGGAAUUCCAUGUGUAGCGGUGAAAUGCGUAGAUAUAUGGAGGAACACCAGUGGCGAAGGCGACUCUCUGGUCUGUAACCGACGCUGAGGCUCGAAAGCGUGGGUAGCAAACAGG
rnacentral:rRNA from 1 species